GAUGAACGCUGGCGGCGUGCCUAAUACAUGCAAGUCGAGCGAACAGACGAGGAGCUUGCUCCUCUGACGUUAGCGGCGGACGGGUGAGUAACACGUGGAUAACCUACCUAUAAGACUGGGAUAACUUCGGGAAACCGGAGCUAAUACCGGAUAAUAUAUUGAACCGCAUGGUUCAAUAGUGAAAGACGGUUUUGCUGUCACUGAUAGAUGGAUCCGCGCCGCAUUAGCUAGUUGGUAAGGUAACGGCUUACCAAGGCAACGAUGCGUAGCCGACCUGAGAGGGUGAUCGGCCACACUGGAACUGAGACACGGUCCAGACUCCUACGGGAGGCAGCAGUAGGGAAUCUUCCGCAAUGGGCGAAAGCCUGACGGAGCAACGCCGCGUGAGUGAUGAAGGUCUUGGGAUCGUAAAACUCUGUUAUUAGGGAAGAACAAAUGUGUAAGUAACUAUGCACGUCUUGACGGUACCUAAACAGAAAGCCACGGCUAACUACGUG
rnacentral:rRNA from 1 species